rnacentral:rRNA from 1 species
GACGAACGCUGGCGGCGUGCUUAACACAUGCAAGUCGAACGGGAUCCGGGCUUUCGGGUUUGGUGAGAGUGGCGAACGGGUGAGUAACACGUGAGUAACCUGCCCCCUUCUUUGGGAUAACGUCGGGAAAUCGGCGCUAAUACUGGAUAUUCUUGCUGCAUCGCAUGGUGUGGUUUGGAAAGGGUUUCUGGUGGGGGAUGGGCUCGCGGCCUAUCAGCUUGUUGGUGGGGUGAUGGCCUACCAAGGCUUUGACGGGUAGCCGGCCUGAGAGGGUGUCCGGCCACACUGGGACUGAGACACGGCCCAGACUCCUACGGGAGGCAGCAAUGGGGAAUAUUGCACAAUGGGCGCAAGCCUGAUGCAGCGACGCCGCGUGAGGGAUGACGGCCUUCGGGUUGUAAACCUCUUUCAGUAUGGAACAAGGAUCCUUCUUUUGGGGGGUUUGAGGGUACGUGCAGAAGAAGCGCCGGCUAACUACGUG